UACGAAGGGGGCUAGCGUUGCUCGGAAUUACUGGGCGUAAAGCGCACGUAGGCGGCUUUGUAAGUUAGAGGUGAAAGCCUGGAGCUCAACUCCAGAAUUGCCUUUAAGACUGCAUCGCUUGAAUCCAGGAGAGGUGAGUGGAAUUCCGAGUGUAGAGGUGAAAUUCGUAGAUAUUCGGAAGAACACCAGUGGCGAAGGCGGCUCACUGGACUGGGUAUUGACGCUGAGGUGCGAAAAGCGUGGGGAGCAAACAGG
rnacentral:rRNA from 1 species